rnacentral:lncRNA from 1 species
CGCCGGAUCGUUUCUCCGCGGUGUGAGGGAGCCACCACCUGCAUUCUGUCCGUCAGCAGCGCUGUUUCUGGUAAAAUAAACUACUGAAAAACUGCAUAAACACCAUAAACUGGUCUUUCCAAACACAGAAAAAACAUCGCAGCUGCUGUGGGGCAGGUACCUCUGAAGGAUGACCUAACUGAGCUAGCUGACCUAGUUUCCAGUUUUGGGAAGCAUAGAAGGAAGAAUCAGGGAUCUGUGGUAAGAAAUUCAAGGAUUAAGAAAAUUCACCUUGUGCUGUGGUAACUGUUGGUAUGUUCAGUUGCUACUUUGUCUCCUGCCAGCGCAGUAUUGAACUCUAUUACUGCUAGUAGUGG